rnacentral:misc_RNA from 1 species
GAUGAAGAACGUAGCGAAAUGCGAUAAGUAAUGUGAAUUGCAGAAUUCAGUGAAUCAUCGAAUCUUUGAACGCACAUUGCGCCCUCUGGUAUUCCGGGGGGCAUGCCUGUUCGAGCGUCAUUACAACCCUCAAGCUUUGCUUGGUAUUGGACAUUGCCAGUUUCUGUCAGGUCUUAAAAUCAGUGGCGGUGCCAUUUGGCUUCAAGCGUAGUAAUUCUUCUCGCUUUGGAGAUCCAGGUGGUUACUUGCCAAUAACCCCCAAUUUUUUCAGGUUGACCUCGGAUCAGGUAGGGAUACCCGCUGAACUUAAGCAUAUCAAUAAGCGGAGGA